ACAUUUCAAUUCUCACACAACCAACCAUAUUAUCUCUUCAUGUAAGGUUAAUUCCUAAAUUACCUAAGUAUUCUAAUGCCAGUUCCAUAUUAGUUUUAUACUUAGUAGAGUUCACUUGUUACACCACAAACACAGUAAUGAACAGUAGAAGAGUAAAGAAGGGCAUUUAUGUAAUAAACAGGUAGCCCUUCUUCUUCCUUCAAAACAUAACCGAAAGACACUCUGGAGAGACACACAGAGGGGAGAAGAGAUGGAAGACAGAGACGGAGAAGUCUCGGUCUCGACACGGUGGCCGCGCCGCACAUGGCUCUCCGGUGUCGACAUCACAGUCGGGUCCGCCAUACAUGGUGUUGGGGUUAUGUCGGCUCUCCGGCGUCGGCGGUGGUACCAGGGUUUCCGGUCACCACAACGGCGGUCAGCAGCUGUAAGUGGUUGCUAGGUUGUUGGUUGUUUCUGUUGACAUCAGCAGAACUCGAUGGCUUCAAGAAGCUCAGGCGAAACACCUAGGGUUCAGGUCCUAUUCCGGUGAAGUUCCGUCGAGAAGGAUUAAACCCCUCUACUUUCCGAUUAUACAACCCGAACCAGGUGUCUAUUGCUUCAAUCUUUAUGUUUCAACCAUGUUGGUGGGUAACAGCUAAAUCUUCGCACCUAAGGCAUGAAUUUGAUAACCUUCCUAUCGGCGCCCAUCUGGCCUUCGAGCCUUUUAAAAAGAGAUGAUACAAGCAUUUAUUUUUAUCGGUUAGUGUUCGGCAUUUGUGGAAUAAUGCUGGAAAAUAAUCGUGCGCUCAUUAUGAUGAUGCUGGUCUUUUAUAGAGUGGAAUUGAUGGGUUUCACCCUUUUAAUUAGGUUAUGACAUAAAAUCGGUUAACUUCUUUGUUUCUUAAUCAUUUCCACUAUGAAUAGUGUUUUUUUUGCCACGUGGCAAUACCUUAUUGGUUGCAUUCUUCCCAUUUACCCGAUGUUAUUGUAUCAAUAGGUUUCGUUAUGGUACUUGAUUUGGGGCUUUGGCUUAGUGAUUUGUUGGUUUUGUGGUGAUAACUUUGACGUCGGUUCGAAUCUUCACAGCCACCUUUUUCUCUACGUUGCUUCUUCCGCUUUUGAAAGCAUAAUGACCGCCAUCUACCCUUUUUGGGAGUCGCUGAAGGUAACAUGGCUCAAGUCAACAAACUCAAGUAUGAUUUCUAAUUCAUGGUUGGGUAUAACUAGACCUGGUAAUUCUGACCCAAACUAAUAUAUUUGGGUCUUUUCUAAAUUCCAUUGGGUCAGUUUGGGCUUCCUUUUAGUGAUUAGCGGGUCCAGUUGGGUCAUCCCAUAAACUUUGAAAUGUUCUUACGGAUCAGCUGGGUUUGGGCUGUAAAAAGAAACGGGUUGAACGGGUUAUAAUAAAGAGGCGGGUUACGACAGAGAUAGAGGGGACAAUUCGUGUCCGUGAUUCGUUAAUCGCCUAGAAGCAUUCACAGUUUGUGAUUCGUAUUCUUGAUUCGUUCUAGGGUUUUUGAAGUUCGUUGGUUCUGUGAAUUUGUUGGGGGAUUCGGUAAGUUCGUUUUAGUUUCUUACUCUUAUCAAUGCAAAUCAGAUUGUUGAAAUUAGUCAGCUUUAUGAUGUUUAGAAUGUUAUGAAAUUGAUUAUAUAGUGUUUGUUUAUAUAAUUUUAGCUGAUUUGUUGAGGAAAUUGAAGAAUGGAUUCAUGUAGGUUUAUAACUUUGGAUCAUUGUGUUAGGUUUUGUUGUUAAUCGACUGUGUUUGUGUGAAGAUUUGUAAUUACUCAGUAGAGACAUUAUGUAAUUGUUGUGUAUUUUAGGUCUGUGUAAAGAGUUUAUUAGUUUUAUGUUUCAUUAACUACUGUUGUUGUUGAUGUUGUUAUUAGUUUUCUGUUUCAUUAUGUAAUUGUUUUGAUGCUAUAAUAGUUGAAUAUGGUUAUACCUUACAUUUGGAUAAUUAGAAGAGGAAUUGCUACUUUUUGUUGUGUGCAUCGGAAUGCCAGUGUGUAGUGGUUCAUAUUAUAAUUUAUAAUUAUAAUGGCAAUUUAGGAAGAUUCAUAAUGCAGAUUAUGAAUCAUUUUACCCAUCUAAAAAGUUUUAUAUUUAGAAACUGUAAGGUAGCAAUUUUCUAAUUCAAAGCUGAAAAUUUGAUGUCUCUAUUGUGAUAUACACUAAUAUAGAGUUUAAGUAGUCAUUGAUUUUGUGUUUAAACUAUUGAUAGCGACAUUUAGUUUUGGCCUACAUUAAGACUUUUCUUAUGGGAUUUACAAGAAACCCUUUUUUUUUUAAUUGAUCUGUUCCGACCUGAACCCGUAUUAACCCGACAUGCCACCCGACUCAACCCACCCGUUUUGCCAGGUGUAGUAUUAAAUGAAAUUUCAUGGUGUUCUUAUCAGUUCAUGUACAAUCUCUCCUUUAAAAAAGCAUCUUUUAACCAGAUCGACCCGACCCGACCCGAAACCCGUUUUAACCCGAACUCGCUCCGACCCGAACCCGUUUUGACCCGAACCAAAACAACCCUUAUUUUAAUUGACCCAUUUCGACCCGAACCCGCCUUGACCCAUGACCCGACCCAACCCGAUCCGUUUGCCAGAUCUAGGUAUAAGAGAGGGUAAUUGGUUAUUAGGGGUUUGAUAUUUGAAUGAUUGUGUCGACUACAAGUCUCCAAUUGGCUUCUUUCCAAUUUAACCACCACCCUCAUCAGAUGAACUGAUCAAGGCUUGCAUGUCUCAGAUCUGUGUAGAUCGGUAGCCACCCUCGACAACUUAGAACUACUCAUCAAAGAAAUUAAAGGACUUCCAUGCUGCCUCAUCCAAGGAAAACGGCUUGGUGCGAUUCUUUAUCCAGAGAAGACCCAACACCUUGACUUCAUCAAUAACACAAGCGUCAAUCCCCAUCUUUUUAUUGAAAAUAGCAUUUUUCCUGGCUCUCCAAAUAGCCCAGCAAGUAAUUAUCAUAUCUAAAUGCACCAAUCUGUAUAGUUCAGUUUUACUUUGUAUUUUUAUAGAACCCAUCUGUAUAGUUCGGUAUUAUUUUGUAAAUUAAACAUUGCUAUGGUUGUGAGAAAUAAAACUGACUCUCUCGCGCAACGCGCGUUGUCAAUA